rnacentral:rRNA from 1 species
UAUUUAAGUCUACCUGCCCAUGAAUUAUUCAAUGGCCGCAGUAUUUUAACUGUGCGAAGGUAGCAUAAUAAUUAGUUUUUUAAUUGAGAACUGGUAUGAAUGGUUGGACGAGAAAAUAGCUGUCUCAAUUUAAUUUAAAUUAGAAUUUUAUUUUUAAGUUAAAAAGCUUAAAUUCUUUUAAAAGACGAGAAGACCCUAUAGAGUUUUAUAUUAAAUUUAUAUUUAAUUUAUAAAGUAUUAUUGUUAUUUUAUGUAAAUUUAAUAUUUUAUUGGGGCGAUAUAAAAAUUUAAAAAACUUUUUAUUUUUUAUUACAUUGAUUUAUGAGUAAAUGAUCCAUUUUUUAUGAUUAAAAGAUUAAAUUACCUUAGGGAUAACAGCGUAAUUUUUUUUUAGAGUUCUUAUCGAAAAAAAAGUUUGCGACCUCG